AUUGAACGCUGGCGGCAGGCCUAACACAUGCAAGUCGAACGAGUGGCGGACGGGUGAGUAAUGUCUGGGAAAAUGCCCGAUUGAGGGGGAUAACUACUGGAAACGGUAGCUAAUACCGCAUACCAUCGGAUGUGCCCAGAUGGGAUUAGCUAGUAGGUGGGGUAAGGGCUCACCUAGGCGACGAUCCCUAGCUGGUCUGAGAGGAUGACAAGCCACACUGGAACUGAGACACGGUCCAGACUCCUAGGGGAGGCAGCAGUGGGGAAUAUUGCACCAUGGGCGCAAGCCUGAUGCAGCCAUGCCGCGUGUGUGAAGAAGGCCUUCGGGUUGUAAAGCACUAUCAGCGGGGAGGCGUUACCCGCAGAAGAAGCACCGGCUAACUCCGUGCCAGCAGCCGCGGUAAUAC
rnacentral:rRNA from 1 species